rnacentral:tRNA from 1 species
GCCUGGGUGGCUCAGUUGGUUGAGCGUCUGACUUCGGCUCAGGUCAUGAUCUCGCGGUCCGUGAGUUCGAGCCCCGUGUCAGGCU